CCUCAUCUGUUUUCUUCAUCAACUUCUGCCACAUAACCAAUAACAUCUAAUUUGCUAGCGUUUCAGGUAUUUUACUGUUGUCUUUUAAAUUUUAGCAUAAAUGAGAUGUUCAUUUUUGUUUUUUGGUAGGCAAUGAGAUGUUGUUCAUUACUAUGUCAAAAAGGUAAACCUAAACAUUUUAAUGUAGGAUGAUACAUUACUAUUUCAAUCAAUUACUUGAUCCCACUAUAGUAGCAUUUUAAAGCAAGUUGUACAUAAACAAUAGCAUUUAUUUUUUAUUUUUUUAUUAUUAUUAUUAUUUUUUUUUUCAAGUUGAAUUUUAUACAUCAACAUAUACAGUAACAGAUACAAGCCUGGUCAACCUGUACAUAUAAUACAUUGUCAGGUGAACAAGUAGGUCUUCCUUCAAUAUCAUCUGGUCACAUUCCCUAUUUCGAUGUAAUAAUAUAGUCCAGAUUGUGAACAGUUAUGCUUUUGGUAUUGAUACCCGUUUCGUUUAAUUAUUAUUAUUGUGAGUAUGAGUUAUUCUAUGUGUUCUUGUCAAUGUCUGUUCACCUAUUUGAGCUUUUGUGUUUGAUUAAUAGACUGUGAUUGAGUGGUUUGACUUAUAGACAACUUAUUUUUUUAUCUUAGCCCAUUAAUCAUGUUACGGUACUUUCAAUCUAUCAUUAUAAAACAUACCCUAAAUAGGACAAUAUGUCUCUAGCCUAUUUACCAAAAAAAAAAAAAGAAGAAAAUAUAUGUCUCUAGCCUUAUAUCUUUGUUAUAUUUACGUUAAUUGUCCUAUGAAGUUAAUUGUCCUGUUAAAUGUGAAAAUACCUAUAUUUGUUCAUCCCAGCAGUACUUUGGAUAUUCUAAAUCUAAAAACAACUUCUAUUCGUGGCUGGAAAUAUAUAUUUUGUAGGCUAUCAUUCUCAGGGCUCAAGAUACAAGCUGAUGUUUGAGAACUCUUAGUACAAAGUAGGUACGACUACUACUACUCUAUUUUGCUAUUUUUCAAUUGUUGACUUUUCCAUCUGAUCAGUAUCUGAUCAAGAACAACCUAUUUAGUUUUGUUCCUGUAGUUUAAAUUGAUUCCAUCAUCUCAAUUUGGUUCAUUUAAUCUGCUAUGGUACGUGUACUCCAACUGAUUCAACAACAAGAUAAAGUACAUGUCUUAGCUUGGUCAUUCAUAUUAAUAUAUACCAUGAGUAAUCAUGGCAUAAUAAUUAAUCUCAAGAUGUUGAAAAUUUGUGUGAUCAUAUUAGGUGUUCAGUAGGUGUUAUCUUCACGUAGUGACAGUUUACAAAUCUAGGCUAAUAGUUGGACAUUAUUAUAUUACAAUUUUAGCACGAAGCAGUAGGCCAAGGUUAAUGAAUUCGGUCUUUCUUUAUUGUUUGGAAUAUUACAUAUUAUCUUUAUAUAGUUAUAGUAAAAUAUUUCGAGGUUUUGACUCCUAAGCUAAACAUGGCCAUGCCAAGUGCUCUAUCUGGCAGUAUUCAGUACCCAAUUUAAUGCUAAUAGGCGUUAUCAAUUUGUUUAAGUAAUCGUUGUGAAGAUUGAGAAAUUAUUGGCCGACGUCGCCUAUUUUCACGCAUCCUUUCUAUUUAGAACUUUUCCACCUUUAUCUGUUGAAAGAACAUGCAUCAUUAAAUAGAAAGACCUGUACUUUAAAACCAUAUACUAACAUAAAGGUCAGCAAGGCCAUCAAUUCUCAAUACACCUUUCUAUUUCCACUCUAAGUAGGAAUAAGACUCUGAUACAUUUGGUACAACAACCAGGGGCAUGGCCGGCUGGACUUCUGGACAUAACUACAACUCCAAACGUUAUCCAUUAGAGCCAGCAGUGCAAACAACAUUUUAUUGAUUAUGGUAAGCUUCAGCUAGCCUCUUAAACCUUUUAAACCCCUCUAAAUUGUGGUAGAUGAAGGUUAACAUAACCAAUUUCUACUGCACUAUUUCG
rnacentral:lncRNA from 1 species